rnacentral:misc_RNA from 1 species
GCCCUGAAACGGGUCUAUGCCGUGUCUUGCCAUUUCCACGUCAGAAACGUUUCCAACACGACGAAACUUCAAAUAUUUUUGUUUCCAUGCUUUGCAGAUUUACUGUUAUUUCCCUUACUCUCUUUUCAAUUUGAAAUAAUUACAUCCCUCAAACUUUAUUUUGCUAAGAAAGUGGUUCCUUCAUCCAAAUUUUAUAUUUAAG